AUGAGCAGUUAAAUGCAUCGCAGUAACAUCGUAUUUUUUUUUUUUUUUUUUAUCAAAUUUUACUGUAUAUUUAUGAAACUCAUUUAAAAUUAUACAGAGGACGUAUCUAAAAAUAAGUGCAUACUACGUUUUAAAUGAUUGUUUAGAAAAUACGUAUAAUAUCUAUUAUUUAAAAAUAUACUUGUUUCUGUUAUCCUUCGCCAGUUUGGCCCCUAAGGAGUAAAACAGUUAAAACGUCAAUUUGCUAAAAGUUUUAGAACUUGAGACAAAAGAAAUUUUAAAAAUAGAAACACAGAAGAGAAAACACCUGACUUCCUUAUCAUUUUCGUAAUCCAUUGUAGUCGAGUUAGACGUAACAACAUUAGGUUGAAGGUUAGAUUUUGAGGCGGAUACAAAACAAUGCCAAACGAUGCACUUCAUAAUAAUUGCUGCACUAACCUAUUUUAUUAUUAUUUUUUAAAGUAGUAUUAGAAUGAUUUAUUAUAUAAUGAACCAUUCUGUAAUAUUAUUGUUGUUCUCUCAUGGGAGAGAGAGAGAGAGAAUGUGUAUGUGUGUGUGUGUGUGUGUGUGAAGCUCGAUCGAUUAUUUUUUUGUUGUAUUUUUGUGUCUACUAGAUGUGUUUUUUUAAUAAUAAAUUUUAUAGAUCUAGAAAAUACAGUAAUUUUCCAAAGUGUUUUCCAGAUUACUUGAAUUAAAGAGUGGAUAUAAUUUCAGCGACGACGCGAGUAGCAACUAGAAUAGCUCAUAAGCUCAGGAAAUGUUUCGAUGUAGUAGUUUCCGCAUAAAAAAUUCUCGCAAAAAGUUUUUGUAUUGUUUUUGUCUCUGUACGCUUUUAACAAAUUUAGCAAAACAUGCCUUCUUACGCGCGAUUAAAUUCUACAUUUCAAAGUUUACCAGAUUGAUAUUGGAUAGCGUAACACUUAAUCUUGACUUUUCUACUUGCAAGAUUAAGUUUGGCAUCGGUGACAGACUGACAGUUCUCUUUUUUAAGAAUUUAGAUAGGUUAACUCGAGAAACUGUCUGUUAAAUCCGAUUUGUUCGACUUUAUUACAGUCUACGAAAAAAAAAAAAACCAACGUUUAAAGAUUAAAAAUAGAAUCCAAAAAUAAGAAAAUUCGCAGUUUAAAAAAAGAAAUUCUACAUGCACACUGACAUAUCGAUUGACCCAUAAAAUUUGAUGUUUCAUUCCGAAAACGAAGAAUGUUAAGAAUAUUUAGGACAAAACACGAGGGAAUACUUCGUAUGAAAACCCAAAACCAAUCACAUUAAUGAAAAUGACGGUGGUGAAUAUUCGAAAAAAAUAUAUAUUUAAGCGUAUACAUAAACAGAAGUAAUAAGAACGAUCGCCGCCGGUUUAAUAAUUGAUGUUGAUUAUAUUUAGCAGCACACGCAGUUAAUUUUAAUGUAUUCUGCGGGAAAAUUGUUAAAGUGGCUACUACAUUAACUCCUUACCUGUUAUAUAUAUCGUCAGGGAAUAAUCGAUUUAUCCAUUGACCCAAAUUUCGACUGGCACAUUGUGCGCGCGUUUUUACAUUCGAUAAAUGGAUACUCGUUUUGUUAACGUCGAGAGAAUAUAAUCGCUCAUUCAAAUAAUUAAUCCAUUGUUAUGCUGUCAUUCGUGUCCGUGGAUGAAGAAUGUCUAUUCGAUGAGGAGGUUGUUUCAUUUAUUCAGUGAAAUGAGCGGACAGCCGCUUCUAUCGCGUGACGGUGUCGCUCGCUCGCUCGCUAGCGACUUUUGCUACGAACUUUUAUUUUUCUUUUGUUGACGUCGAAUUUAAAAUUUUAAUUAAAAUAAUCGAAAAUUUUUUUUCGUUAGCG
rnacentral:lncRNA from 1 species